rnacentral:rRNA from 1 species
CACAAGCGGUGGAUGAUGUGGAUUAAUCGAUGCAACGCGAAAACCUUACCUACCCUUGACAUGUCCGGAAUCCCGAAGAGAUUUGGGAGUGCUCGCAAGAGAACCGGAACACAGGUGCUGCAUGGCUGUCGUCAGCUCGUGUCGUGAGAUGUUGGGUUAAGUCCCGCAACGAGCGCAACCCUUGUCAUUAGUUGCCAUCAUUUGGUUGGGCACUCUAAUGAGACUGCCGGUGACAAACCGGAGGAAGGUGGGGAUGACGUCAAGUCCUCAUGGCCCUUAUGGGUAGGGCUUCACACGUCAUACAAUGGUCGGUACAGAGGGUUGCCAACCCGCGAGGGGGAGCUAAUCCCACAAAGCCGAUCGUAGUCCGGAUCGCAGUCUGCAACUCGACUGCGUGAAGUCGGAAUCGCUAGUAAUCGUGGAUCAGCAUGUCACGGUGAAUACGUUCCCGGGUCUU